AUGGUCGAGAGCUAUUUAAAUGAUUAUAGUGUUAACAAUGGAAGUAGUCAGAAAUAUAUCAAUGUUUCGACAAGGGCGUGUGGUUCAUACCUCCACACAUUUCCUCAGAGCAAAAUCCAGACCCCAUCCAUGAACCAAGUCAUUCUGCAACAAGGGGAUGUUAACCACAUGAGGUGCAAAUGUAAGAGGAAAUUAGAUGGUGGAAAUAUGCUAUACCUGAAUCAUAUGCCAUACACAUCUCCAUGCAUCUCUGGAGAAAACCGGAGCCAUAAUUUCAACAAAACUGCACAUCAAACAUACCCAGUUAGGCCCUUUUCCAUGUAUAUCAGCGACCAAGUAACACAAGUCAGCUGCGGAAGGCGAAAUACAUACGCAGCACAUGGUGGAAGAUGA
rnacentral:rRNA from 1 species